AUUGAACGCUGGCGGCAUGCUUUACACAUGCAAGUCGAACGGCAGCGGGGUAGUGCUUGCACUACUGCCGGCGAGUGGCGAACGGGUGAGUAAUAUAUCGGAACGUACCGAGUAAUGGGGGAUAACCAAUCGAAAGAUUGGCUAAUACCGCAUACGUCCUGAGGGAGAAAGCGGGGGAUCGCAAGACCUCGCGUUAUUCGAGCGGCCGGUAACUGAUUAGCUAGUUGGUGGGGUAAAGGCCUACCAAGGCGACGAUCAGUAGCGGGUCUGAGAGGACGAUCCGCCACACUGGGACUGAGACACGGCCCAGACUCCUACGGGAGGCAGCAGUGGGGAAUUUUGGACAAUGGGGGCAACCCUGAUCCAGCCAUGCCGCGUGUAUGAAGAAGGCCUUCGGGUUGUAAAGUACUUUUGUUAGGGAAGAAAAGGGAAGUGCUAAUACCACUUUUUGCUGACGGUACCUAAAGAAUAAGCACCGGCUAACUACGUG
rnacentral:rRNA from 1 species